GAACAAGUAACAAUAACAACCAGCUAGUUACUAAGAGAAGAAAAUUCCAGUAUAGGAAUUUUGUGAGAAAUAUUUAGAGAGAAAUAUUUCUUUGGGUGUAACUGGGUUGUGGGUUCUGUGAGAAAAACACUUUGUACAUUUCAUUAUUAUUAAUAUUGGUGUGCUUCCGCAUUAUUUUGCUCUUCCACAAAUCUGAUAAUAUGAGGAAAUUUUGCGUAGUUUCCUAACAACUGGUAUCAGAUCCAGUUGGUUGAUUUUGCUAAUUUUCUAGCGAAUAUAUUAUUCACAUAAAUAGCAACUUUUGUGAA
rnacentral:lncRNA from 1 species